rnacentral:rRNA from 1 species
GUGGGGAAUAUUGGACAAUGGGCGAAAGCCUGAUCCAGCCAUGCCGCGUGUGUGAAGAAGGUCUUCGGAUUGUAAAGCACUUUAAGUUGGGAGGAAGGGCAGUAAGUUAAUACCUUGCUGUUUUGACGUUACCGACAGAAUAAGCACCGGCUAACUUCGUGCCAGCAGCCGCGGUAAUACGAAGGGUGCAAGCGUUAAUCGGAAUUACUGGGCGUAAAGCGCGCGUAGGUGGUUUUGUAAGUUGGAGGUGAAAUCCCCGGGCUCAACCAGGGAAAUGCCUCCAAAACUGCAUGACUAGAGUACGGUAGAGGGUAGUGGAAUUUCCUGUGUAGCGGUGAAAUGCGUAGAUAUAGGAAGGAACACCAGUGGCGAAGGCGACUACCUGGACUGAUACUGACACUGAGGUGCGAAAGCGUGGGGAGCAAACAGGAUUAGAAGCCCGUGUAGUCC